GACGAACGCUGGCGGCGUGCUUAACACAUGCAAGUCGAACGGAAAGGCCCUGCUUUUGUGGGUGCUCGAGUGGCGAACGGGUGAGUAACACGUGAGUAACCUGCCCUUGACUUUGGGAUAACUUCAGGAAACUGGGGCUAAUACCGGAUAGGAGCUCCUGCUGCAUGGUGGGCGUUGGAAAGUUUCGGCGGUUGGGGAUGGACUCGCGGCUUAUCAGCUUGUUGGUGGGGUAGUGGCUUACCAAGGCUUUGACGGGUAGCCGGCCUGAGAGGGUGACCGGCCACAUUGGGACUGAGAUAGGGCCCAGACUCCUACGGGAGGCAGCAGCGGGGAAUAUUGCACAAUGGGCGGAAGCCUGAUGCAGCAACGCCGCGUGCGGGAUGACGGCCUUCGGGUUGUAAACCGCUUUCGCCUGUGACGAAGCGUGAGUGACGGUAAUGGGUAAAGAAGCACCGGCUAACUACGUG
rnacentral:rRNA from 1 species